AUUGAACGCUGGCGGCAUGCCUUACACAUGCAAGUCGAACGGCAGCACGGGGGCAACCCUGGUGGCGAGUGGCGAACGGGUGAGUAAUGCAUCAGAACGUGCCCAGUAGUGGGGGAUAACCAGUCGAAAGACUGGCUAAUACCGCAUACGACCUAAGGGUGAAAGCGGGGGACCGUAAGGCCUCGCGCUAUUGGAGCGGCCGAUGUCUGAUUAGCUAGUUGGCGGGGUAAGAGCCCACCAAGGCGACGAUCAGUAGCUGGUCUGAGAGGACGACCAGCCACACUGGGACUGAGACACGGCCCAGACUCCUACGGGAGGCAGCAGUGGGGAAUUUUGGACAAUGGGCGCAAGCCUGAUCCAGCCAUGCCGCGUGCGGGAAGAAGGCCUUCGGGUUGUAAACCGCUUUUGGCAGGAACGAAACGGCGCAGGCCAAUACCUUGCGCUAAUGACGGUACCUGCAGAAUAAGCACCGGCUAACUACGUGCCAGCCGCCGCGGUAACAC
rnacentral:rRNA from 1 species